ACCGUUGUGCUGGAAUUGGUAGACAGGCUAGACUCAGGAUCUAGUGGGCGAAAGCCCGUGAGGGUUCGACUCCCUCCAAUGGUA
rnacentral:tRNA from 1 species